CUCCGGUUGAUCCUGCCGGUAGGAUAGGGCACACCGUCGGGAACCUCGGCGCUGGUGUUGGCCCAGAAGGCAUCGCCGUGCCCGAUGAAAACGGUCUUGGGGUUGGCCUUCACGACGGCCGGAAAACGCGCGAUGCCGCUAUUCCAGACGCCUUCGCCCUCGAACUGCGGGAAAUCGGCGAAGUGCAUCAGAACCGGCACAUUCAUUUCGGCCGCUAGCGAAAAUACCGCCUUCAUUUCCGGGCCGUCGCAAGCCACGUGGGACUUCAAUUCGCCUAGUCCGAUAGCGCCAGCCAUCAGGUUCUUGCGAAGAAUGGCGAUGGCAUCCGGCUUGGUCAUGUCGGUACCGAUGAACCAGACGAAACGUCCGGGGUUGGCGGCCGCAACGGCCUGGGAGUGCUCGGCCAUGGCUGAUCCGGUGAGCAGCACGGCCUUCGCGACAGCGGAGCCAUUGACGUGGUUCAGUUCGCCGCCUUCCUCGCGGCGGGGAUGGAGGUGGAUGUCGAGGACGGGCGCGCCCCACUCGGAUGUGGACUGCGCAUUCGCGCGUGAGAGCACGGCCGCUGCUGCGGUUCUUCCCAGGAAUUGGCGGGGGAGCA
rnacentral:rRNA from 1 species